AUUGAACGCUGGCGGCAGGCCUAACACAUGCAAGUCGAGCGAGCGGCGGACGGGUGAGUAAUGUCUGGGAAACUGCCUGAUGGAGGGGGAUAACUACUGGAAACGGUAGAUAAUAUAUCAUCACAUAAGAUGUGAACAGAUGGGAUUAGCUAGUCGGUUGGGUAACGGCUCACCUAGGAGACGAUCCCUAGCUGGUCUGAGAGGAGGACCAGCAACACUGGAACUGGGACACGGUCCAGACUCCGACGGGAGGCAGCAGUGGGGAAUAUUGCACAAUGGGCGCAAGCCUGAUGCAGCCAUGCCGCGUGUGUGAAGAAGGCCUUCGGGUUGUAAAGCACUUUCAGCGGGGAGGCGUUACCCGCAGAAGAAGCACCGGCUAACUCCGUGCCAGCAGCCGCGGUAAUUC
rnacentral:rRNA from 1 species